UGAGGACGUGUUAGAAAGUUUCCAGUCUGCCUUGAAAGUGUAUAGAAUGAUUCUUAUCGCAAUUUAUGCACCUGUUGUUUUCCCUGCAUGGGAAUUCGGGAGAGUUCCUAUGUCCUCCCCUACAUUCUAGACAUCUUUCUGCGGAUCUACAGAACUUGGUGGUGUGUCCGAAGCGGUCACAUUCGUAGUAAAGUCGGACCGCCGGUAUAUAGGGCGAGACGUUGAUUCUAGCUUUCCAGAUGAGGAUGGUGUCUGCCCCGGCGUAUACAACCCUCACCAAUUAUACACUCAAAUAGUUAAUUUAUAAGACUAUUAAAAAAAUUUGUUUAUUCAUCGACACCAAAACUAUGUAAUCCACACAGACAAAUUGUAAUACUAUAGCGAUCACGGGUCGGUUAGGCUAAGUUCCUAGACCAUGUACUCCUUUUUAUACACCCUUUACUUGCAAUAAAAAAAAAUGAGGUCAUGAUUGAUCGUUUCGCUCUGUAGACUUAGAUCAGGACACACUUCUUUGAAUGAGGGUCUUUUUAAAUUGAGAAUAGUUGACUCUCCCAACUGUCCUCAAUGUAAUGUUCUAGAGUCGGCUGAUCACGUGAUUUGGCAAUGCCCUCGUUUCGAAAAUCAGAGAAAUAUUCUGAUAAAGAAUGGGGAAUGUCCAUUUUCCGAACCCUGCCUUGGCCGGUGCACUCCUUGCUGACGACUAAAGACCUCAAUAGCUAUUCUCUGUUAGGCUAUUUUAUAAAUGGAAUCAAUAUAACUUUUUCCUAUAUGUAUACUUUUAGGUGAACCAUUAUCUUUAAGUCAAAAACCUUUUCAGUCUAUAAGCUAUCUCUAUUCUGGUGUAAUAGUAAAAGUAAUAUAAGUAAUAUAAGUAAUAUAGGUAAUAUAAGUAACUUAAGUCUAAGUUGAAAGUGAAUUUUAUUUGUAAUAUCUAGACUUUCUAUAUAAAAUACUGACGAAGGUACAAAAUAGUCUAUAUCCUCUGACCAAUCCGGUCACAGUAGCGAUCAACUAAACCAAAUAGUUGCGUAGCUAAUUCAUUUAAAUUCGCGUGCGAUCUAUAUAAAUAAUCUACACAGGCACGUACCCAUCUUAUUUGGAUUUUCAUUCAUACUUUUUUCUGUUACAUGUAUUUUUCUUUUUAAUUUGAUUUUUGUGAAGACUGGUUGACUUGUAAUCUAAGAAUCAUCUACGACUUAUUCUGAAAAGAAUUAUUUUCUUUCUUUCGGCUAUUCUGGGAACACCCAAGUGGUACUAUAAGCGAUGGCGAAAACAGCUUUGUAUUUCUUCCCUUCUUCUUUUCUUUUUAAUCGCUAAAACUUUAUCCGUCUCCUGGCGUGUAUUGUACUCUUUAGAUAUUUACUCAUUCAAUACAUAGAACUAUAAAAAUUGUUUAUUUACUGGUAUCAAAAGAAAUAUAUUUACCUGUCAAAAAUGUAAUACUCUGACACCCAUCGGUCGGAUAGGCUUAAAUCCUAGACCAUGUACAUACCUUUUGUACGCCAUUUACUUUUAAUAAAAAAAAAAUGAGGUCGUGAUAUGACUAAA